AUAAAACAGAAAGUGAGUUUUUAACCUCUCAAAAUACCUCUUAAUAUAUGUCAACGUUAGCCAUCUUUGAACUUGUCCGAGGUCUGUGUUCCAAGAAUGUUCCCUGUGAAUUUGAAGACUGUGGCAGUAAAACAACUGGACUUAUGCUGAACACAGACAGACGGACAGACAUACAGACGGACGCCAGGUCUUCACAAUAGCCAAUGGCCAUAUGGCCUCCGGUAAAAAUGCUGUUAGAGUGAAACAAAGAAGGAUCACAUUAAGAAGAAGAGGUGAAAUUUCAGGUCUAGUUUGUCAGAUGUAUCAGAGGACACUGGAGCCUAGAUUUAAUGUUUAUGUUUUAAAAAGGUUCUUCUUUGUGCCACUUCAAACAAAGGUUGCCCUGUGUCCAGUUUCUCCAAUCAUAUUGUAAUGGCUGUUGCAUAACUAGAGACACCUGAGCAGUAAGCAACAGAAGUGAAAAGUUCAAAUGUUCUUUAUUUACAGCUGGCUAAAGCUGUUACAGCAUGUGAAGUACCCACCCAUUCACAUUAAUGUUGGGGUAGAAACAGCUGUUGAUGUGGUUUGUAAUACAGGAGUGCAUUUGGUACAUAAUUAAUGAGUUUAAACAGCAACAAUGUCCGUGAGGACAGCAGGAAAAGGAGAAUCCAACGACGUUAGCAGACAAUCGACACACAGUAAUUAAACACACCAAGCAGGAAAUCCAUUAGACGGCAGGCUAAACUCGGAAGAAACAGGGAGGCAACAGAGAUCGGCAACUGGAGAUCAAACACUAGAAAUAAAAACGAGAAAGCAGGUAUAAGAACGAGACAAUCUGGCAUUGGAGUGAAGGAUUUGUGACAAUUUUACUGUAACUCAGUUAACUGGGAAAUGAGUGUUCAUGUGAAACCGGAAUCCUGAAUGCCCAUGACGUGACGCAAACAACAUGCACUAGGAGCAGAACUGUCCAAAUAAAAGCACAAGGAGAAUAGCAACACUAAGGAGCACAAAACACAAGAUAGACACUAAAAAUAUAGCACGCAGGAGAUAAAAUUAGAAGAAAUAGAAACGCAGAAGACCAGAACAUGAACCAUGACACAUAUCCACAGAACCUUGUGACUCCUAGGUCUUCAUCAACCUCUAGAAGGUUCCCUCUCUCAUCUGCAUAGUUUACUAUGACUCUGUAUUUGAUACUCUAAAUAAAAUCACACUACCGUACUGUUUUGAUUUAUUUCAGUAAACUCCAAGAGAUAUUCAGUGACUUGGAAAUGUUCACGUAUUUAUCCCCUGACUGCUUGGGGGAGACACCCAGCUGUUAAAGUAAUAAUUUAGAUGUUGCUUCUAAGUAUUUGCACAGACUUUUUUGCAAUGGUCUUGUGCUUUGUGAUCUGUAUUUUAGAUAUUGUCUUUCUAAAUUAUUUGUUUUCCAUUGUUCAUGAGAGGAAACAGUCUACUAGUUGACUUAGACAUAAUGUGAUUAUUAGGAGGUGAUACAGUUUUGGAUCACUUGACAUUUAAGUGAUAUUGCACAGAGGUGUACUCACUUCUGUCGUAUACUGAGUGCAGCGUAUAACUCAACACAAAGGAUAAGAACUGGGAAAAAAAUCAUUUAUUUUCAAGAUGAUUUUUAAAAAGAGGCACUCUUUCCAAUUUUCAAAACAUCAAACAGAAACAAGCCGAGCAAGUGUGUUUUGGUUUGAAGGCUUGUGAGCGAGCGCCACUCCCUCCUGCAGAUCGUGCACAGUCACUUUUCAUGUAUGUCUAAAUUCAUGCUUUCAGAACAACACAAUGGGGCAGUUAUAA